rnacentral:misc_RNA from 1 species
GAUGAAGAACGUAGCGAAAUGCGAUAAGUAAUGUGAAUUGCAGAAUUCAGUGAAUCAUCGAAUCUUUGAACGCACAUUGCGCCCGCCAGCAUUCUGGCGGGCAUGCCUGUUCGAGCGUCAUUUCAACCCUCGAGCCCCCCCGGGGGCCUCGGUGUUGGGGGACGGCACACCAGCCGCCCCCGAAAUGCAGUGGGGACCCCGCCGCAGCCUCCCCUGCGUAGUAGCACACACCUCGCACCGGAGCGCGGAGGCGGUCACGCCGUAAAACGCCCAACUUUCUUAGAGUUGACCUCGGAUCAGGUAGGAAUACCCGCUGAACUUAAGCAUAUCAAUAAGCGGAGGA